rnacentral:rRNA from 1 species
UACGUAGGGGGCAAGCGUUGUCCGGAAUCAUUGGGCGUAAAGCGCGUGUAGGCGGCUCGGUAAGUCUGCUGUGAAAGUCCAGGGCUCAACCCUGGGAUGCCGGUGGAUACUGUCGAGCUCGAGUCCGGAAGAGGCGAGUGGAAUUCCUGGUGUAGCGGUGAAAUGCGCAGAUAUCAGGAGGAACACCAACGGCGAAGGCAGCUCGCUGGGACGUGACUGACGCUGAGACGCGAAAGCGUGGGGAGCAAACAGG